UUGCUUCCAAUUGCUUCUACGGUGUGCUGGUGACGGGAGGGGAACAACCACCAUCUCUCUAUAUGUUUACCCAUUUACCAGGAAAUAUGUUUAUACUGUUUUCCAAUCAGGAUUUACCACAAGCCGGGAGUUCCACACCUAAUGACCAGGCCAAACCCAGCCCACUGUCAACAGAGAAAAGUCGGCCUCAAACAUGAGAGAUUUUAAAUCACAAUGGACGUUCGAGGAGCAUGACUGCCAGCACUGUGAGCAGCAGGGCUGUCUCCAGCCGUCGACAGGGAUGCCGGCUUCAUCUUCCACAGCCCGCAGGCAGUUCCAGGCACCCCUUCUUGCUGGCAAAAUGGGAGUUCACAGGCCAGAGGAGCCGUCAGUCCUAACACAGCACAAAGAAGGAAACACGACCAUGAGAGAACGGAGAAGGGCCACCCUAGGCAGCCAGCCAAAGGGGCAAGAGGUAAAAAGAGUGGAAGUGGCGCGCCGUCGAGAUUCCCCAAAAGAAAAUAGAAAACCAUCUUGGACAACCAGCUAUAGCGCGUACCAACAAAUAAAAAGAAGACAUUCUGGAGUUCCCGCUGUGACACGGGGGGUUAGGACCUGAUUACAGAUGCCUGGGUUGCUGUGGAGGCAUGAGUUGAAUUGCCGGCCCAGGGCAGUGGCUUAAAGGAUCUGUCACCGCCACAGGCGCAGCGUAGAUCACAGCUGUGGCUCAGAUUCAAUCCCUGGCUUGGGAACGUCCAUAGGCCACAGAUGUGGCCACCAAAAAAAAAAAAAAAAAAAAAAAAAAAAAAAAAGCUGCCCAAGAAUCCCCAAGAUCCCCAUUGCAGAACUGUUCAGACCACACACUGUUCUGGUGAAGAGUACAGCCUGGAGUCAGGGCGCCUGGAUGUGAACCCUGGUUCUGAUACUUAGCUGUAGAUGUUGGGCAAGUUACUUAGCUUUUUAGCGCUCCAGUUUCUUCAUCAGUAAGGUAGGAAUAGUAACAGUACCCACCUGAUACAGUUGUCAUGCAUCACUUCUUCUCUCCAAGUUUAAAAAUACCUUUCAAAAGAAACAAGGAGGAAAUUAACUUGCUAAGAUUAUAUACCUUGUAGCAGUUAAAAAAAAAAAAUCCCCAGAGAAGUUAAAUCAUCCAAAAUGAGGUUGGGAGAGGGAAGACGUGGAGGGGAAGACACUGAUGAAAAACUCUGGCUCCCGUCCUUCAGAAGAGGGUGAACUGUUGAGGGAACAGCACUGUGAGGAGGAAACUAGCAAAACACAGAGGAGGAAAGACCAUUAUGAAAGAAUAUACAAAGUACUUUUAGGAAAUUCUCUGGAGGGAAGUAGGAAGGCAAGCGUCCUAUCUCAUGGUGAGGCAGAAAGAGAACUGGAGAGCAAUCAGAGAAUGGAGUUUUAUUUCUAAAUCUGACACUGGUAUCACCUUGGUCAACUGACCGCACCUGCCUCAGCCUCAUUUUCCUUAAAAUUAUCUCCAUGCACUCUACUCUCUUCAGCUCUCAUAAUCUUUGAUUCUAGCAAUCAGUACUCCAGUUCAGGAGAUCUGAUACUCAUGGGUCCUUCCAUGAAGACACAUGAAAGUCUAUAGCAGGCAAAGCCCCUCCAUCAAUGAGGCAAAUCAAGGGAAUCCUAGAAGGCUGGUUGUGGAAUUGGGUUCUGAGGGCUCUGCUCUCUAGGGAACAAUUUGGCUUAGUUGUCUCUUUCAAAGUCAUGGAAUCACAGGAUUGCCCAAACUGGAAAGUACCUUGCACCCUCAUUCUGCAGGUUCAGAAAAGUCAAAUGACCUGGCCAAGGUCAUCCAGCAGAAUAUGGCAGAGCCAGGACUAGAGUUUGCCCACUGCCUCUGCUGUCUGUAAAUGCAGGGGCUCAAGGGCUAGAACACAGCAAGUGUGCCCUUACAUAUGACUUUUAAUUGAACAGUGUCUUGGACACAAGCAGGGCUGGGGCUAGGGUAAGGUAAAUGGGGCACUGGUGUCAGGAGCAAAAUUAAAGGCGGAGCAUAAAAAAACUCAGCAUUAAAACACAGUAUCUUUAAUGCACUACUAAAAAUUAAAAAUCCAUGAACAAAAUACACAAUAUAACAUUUUUAAAUAAAGACAGAAUUGGGGAGUUUCUGUCGUGGCUC
rnacentral:lncRNA from 1 species